rnacentral:rRNA from 1 species
CUCCUACGGGAGGCAGCAGUGGGGGAUAUUGCACAAUGGGGGAAACCUGACGCAGCAAUGCCGCGUGAGGGAAGAAGGUCUUCGGAUUGUAAACCUAAGUAGCCAGGGACGAUAAUGACGGUACCUGGAGAGUAAGCUCCGGCUAACUACGUGCCAGCAGCCGCGGUAAUACGUAGGGAGCGAGCGUUGUCCGGAUUUACUGGGUGUAAAGGGUGCGUAGGCGGGAUGGCAAGUCAGAUGUGAAAUACCGGGGCUUAACCCCGGGGCUGCAUUUGAAACUGUCGUUCUUGAGUGAAGUAGAGGCAGGCGGAAUUCCUAGUGUAGCGGUGAAAUGCGUAGAUAUUAGGAGGAACACCAGUGGCGAAGGCGGCCUGCUGGGCUUUAACUGACGCUGAGGCACGAAAGCAUGGGGAGCAAACAGGAUUAGAUACCCUGGUAGUCCAUGCCGUAAACGAUGAUUGCUAGGUGUGGGGGGACUGACCCCUUCCGUGCCGGAGUAAACACAAUAAGCAAUCCACCUGGGGAGUACGGCCGCAAGGCUGAAACUCAAAGGAAUUGACGGGGGCCCGCACAAGCAGUGGAGUAUGUGGUUUAAUUCGAAGCAACGCGAAGAACCUUACCAGGUCUUGACAUCCAACUAACGAGGCAGAGAUGCGUUAGGUGCCCUUCGGGGAAAGUUGAGACAGGUGGUGCAUGGUUGUCGUCAGCUCGUGUCGUGAGAUGUUGGGUUAAGUCCCGCAACGAGCGCAACCCUUGUCAUUAGUUGCUACGCGAGAGCACUCUAAUGAGACUGCCGUUGACAAAACGGAGGAAGGUGGGGACGACGUCAAAUCAUCAUGCCCCUUAUGACCUGGGCUACACACGUACUACAAUGGCCAUUAACAGAGGGAAGCAAGACCGCGAGGUGGAGCAAAACCCCAAAAAUGGUCCCAGUUCAGAUUGUAGGCUGCAACUCGCCUAUAUGAAGUCGGAAUUGCUAGUAAUCGCGGAUCAGCAUGCCGCGGUGAAUACGUUCCCGGGCCUUGUACACACCGC